GAUGAACGCUUGCGGUGUGCCUUACACAUGCAAGUCGAACGGCACACAGGGAGCUUGCUCCCGGGUGGCGAGUGGCGCACGGGUGAGUAAUACAUCGGAACGUGUCCUGUUGUGGGGGAUAACUGCUCGAAAGGGUGGCUAAUACCGCAUGCGACCUGAGGGUGAAAGCGGGGGAUCGCAAGACCUCGCGCAAUUGGAGCGGCCGAUGCCCGAUUAGCUAGUUGGUGGGGUAAAGGCUCACCAAGGCGACGAUCAUUAGCUGGUCUGAGAGGAUGACCAGCCAGACUGGAACUGAGAACGGUCCAGACUCCUACGGGAGGCAGCAGUAGGGAAUUUUCCACAAUGGACGUAAGUCUGAUGGAGCAACGCCGCGUGCAGGAUGAAUGCCUUAGGGUUGUAAACUGCUUUUAUAUGUGACGAAUAUGACGGUAGCAUAUGAAUAAGGAUCGGCUAACUCCGUGCCAGCCGCCGCCGUAA
rnacentral:rRNA from 1 species